GUGUGCAACCUGCCUUUAUCUGGGGGAUAGCCUUUCGAAAGGAAGAUUAAUACCCCAUAAUAUAUUGAGUGGCAUCAUUUGAUAUUGAAAACUCCGGUGGAUAGAGAUGGGCACGCGCAAGAUUAGAUAGUUGGUGAGGUAACGGCUCACCAAGUCAACGAUCUUUAGGGGGCCUGAGAGGGUGAUCCCCCACACUGGUACUGAGACACGGACCAGACUCCUACGGGAGGCAGCAGUGAGGAAUAUUGGACAAUGGGUGAGAGCCUGAUCCAGCCAUCCCGCGUGAAGGACGACGGCCCUAUGGGUUGUAAACUUCUUUUGUAUAGGGAUAAACCUACCCUCGUGAGGGUAGCUGAAGGUACUAUACGAAUAAGCACCGGCUAACUCCGUGCCAGCAGCCGCGGUAAUACGGAGGGUGCAAGCGUUAUCCGGAUUUAUUGGGUUUAAAGGGUCCGUAGGCGGAUUUGUAAGUCAGUGGUGAAAUCUCACAGCUUAACUGUGAAACUCCCAUUGAUACUGCAAGUCUUGAGUGUUGUUGAAGUAGCUGGAAUAAGUAGUGUAGCGGUGAAAUGCAUAGAUAUUACUUAGAACACCAAUUGCGAAGGCAGGUUACUAAGCAACAACUGACGCUGAUGGACGAAAGCGUGGGGAGCGAACACUCAUUAGAUACCCUGGUAGUCCACGCCGUAAACGAUGCUAACUCGUUUUUGGUAUUUCGGUAUCAGAGACUAAGCGAAAGUGAUAAGUUAGCCACCUGGGGAGUACGAACGCAAGUUUGAAACUCAAAGGAAUUGACGGGGGCCCGCACAAGCGGUGGAUUAUGUGGUUUAAUUCGAUGAUACGCGAGGAACCUUACCAAGGCUUAAAUGGGAAAUGACAGGCUUAGAAAUAGGCUA
rnacentral:rRNA from 1 species